AGGCAAAGAUGUUAAAAUGGUCAGUUAACAGUCGACAAAACCUCAGCAUUGAAGAAGAACUUUUAGAAGAGGAGCAGCCAGUUAUUGCAGUUGAUACAAACCAGAAAUGGAAAUAUGUCAAGAGAAAAUUUCUCCCGCGUGGACAAAAAUCCGACUUAAAGUUGCCUUCAGAGGGAGCUGGAGGAAGGAGAAAAAGUUGCUUCGCAGUUUUUAGUUCUGCAGUUUCAAACAGGAAA